AUUGAACGCUGGCGGCAUGCCUUACACAUGCAAGUCGAACGGCAGCACGGGAGCAAUCCUGGUGGCGAGUGGCGAACGGGUGAGUAAUACAUCGGAACGUGCCCAGUCGUGGGGGAUAACUACUCGAAAGAGUAGCUAAUACCGCAUACGACCUGAGAGUGAAAGCGGGGGAUCGCAAGACCUCGCGCGAUUGGAGCGGCCGAUGUCAGAUUAGCUAGCUGGUGGGGUAAAGGCCUACCAAGGCUACGAUCUGUAGUUGGUCUGAGAGGACGACCAGCCACACUGGGACUGAGACACGGCCCAGACUCCUACGGGAGGCAGCAGUGGGGAAUUUUGGACAAUGGGCGCAAGCCUGAUCCAGCAAUGCCGCGUGCAGGAAGAAGGCCUUCGGGUUGUAAACUGCUUUUGUCAGGGAAGAAAUCCUCUGGGUUAAUACCUCGGGGGGAUGACGGUACCUGAAGAAUAAGCACCGGCUAACUACGUGCCAGCAGCCGCAGUAAAAC
rnacentral:rRNA from 1 species